AGGGGACCUGAGAGGGUGAUCCCCCACACUGGUACUGAGACACGGACCAGACUCCUACGGGAGGCAGCAGUGAGGAAUAUUGGUCAAUGGGCGCAAGCCUGAACCAGCCAUCCCGCGUGCAGGAAGACGGCCCUAUGGGUUGUAAACUGCUUUUCUGAAGGAAGAAUAAUUCCGAGUUUUUCGGGAGAUGACGGUACUUCAGGAAUAAGCAUCGGCUAACUCCGUGCCAGCAGCCGCGGUAAUACGGAGGAUGCAAGCGUUAUCCGGAUUUAUUGGGUUUAAAGGGUGCGUAGGCGGGCUAAUAAGUCAGUGGUGAAAUCUCUCGGCUCAACCGGGAAACUGCCAUUGAUACUGUUAGUCUCGAGUUCGGUUGAGGUAGGCGGAAUGUGUAAUGUAGCGGUGAAAUGCUUAGAUAUUACACAGAACACCAAUUGCGUAGGCAGCUUACUAGACCGACACUGACGCUGAGGCACGAAAGCGUGGGGAGCGAACAGGAUUAGAUACCCUGGUAGUCCACGCCGUAAACUAUGAUUACUCGUUGUUGGCGAUACACAGUCAGCGACCAAGCGAAAGCGAUAAGUAAUCCACCUGGGGAGUACGCCCGCAAGAGUGAAACUCAAGGGAAUUGACGGGGGCCCGCACAAGCGGUGGAACAUGUGGUUUAAUUCGAUGAUACGCGAGGAACCUUACCUGGGCUUAAAUGUAGAGUGCAUAAGUGGGAAACCAUUUUUUCCUUCGGGACUCUUUACAAGGUGCUGCAUGGUUGUCGUCAGCUCGUGCCGUGAGGUGUCGGGUUAAGUCCCAUAACGAGCGCAACCCUUAUCAUUAGUUGCCAUCGGGUAAUGCCGGGGACUCUAAUGAAACUGCCACCGUAAGGUGAGAGGAAGGUGGGGAUGACGUCAAAUCAGCACGGCCCUUAUGUCCAGGGCUACACACGUGUUACAAUGGUCGGUACAGAGGGCAGCUACCUGGUGACAGGAUGCCAAUCUCUAAAGCCGGUCCAAGUUCGGAUCGAAGUCUGCAACUCGACUUCGUGAAGCUGGAAUCGCUAGUAAUCGUAUAUCAGCAAUGAUACGGUGAAUACGUUCCCGGGCCUUGUACACACCGCCCGUCAAGCCAUGGAAGCUGGGGGUGCCUGAAGUUCGUAACCGCAAGGAGCGACCUAGGGUAAAACUAGUGACUGGGGCUAAGUCGUAACAAGGUA
rnacentral:rRNA from 1 species